GGCACAUACUUUGUAGAUGUGUGCAGAGUAAGUUUGCUUCCCGUAACGCACUUCUCACAGUUCCGAGCAAGAUGAACAAGGGAGUGCUGCUGGUGUUGGUGAUGUUGGUGAUGUUGGUAUCGUUGUCGACGAGUCCUUCUAUAACAUCUGACGUAAGACUCCGUGAAGCUUUCAGUAGGUUAAUGAGAAAAUAUUUGACUGCUUUAGCACAAAUGAAAUUUGUAAACCAGUGGAAAUCAAAACAAGGUUCAACUGAAGAGUUCAGUUAUUAUCAGCCAAGAGGAUAAAUCCAGCAACAUAAUCUUUUGAAGGCAACAAUUUGAUGCAAUUACGUUUCAUAAUGCAUGUGUUCUGAUUGUAAAUCGCAGACAGCAUUCAACAAAUAAAGAUAAACGUUCA